rnacentral:rRNA from 1 species
UGGAGGCAGCAGUGGGGAAUAUUGGGCAAUGGGCGAAAGCCUGACCCAGCAACGCCGCGUGCACGAUGAAGGCCUUCGGGUCGUAAAGUGCUUUUCUGAGGAAUGAGUAAGGACAGUACCUCAGGAAUAAGCCUCGGCUAACUACGUGCCAGCAGCCGCGGUAAAACGUAGGAGGCAAGCGUUAUCCGGAUUUACUGGGCGUAAAGCGUGUGCAGGCGGUUCGGCAAGUUGGAUGUGAAAGCUCCUGGCUUAACUAGGAGAGGUCGUUCAAUACUACCGAACUUGAAGGCAUCAGAGGAAGAUGGAAUUCCCGGUGUAGUGGUGAAAUGCGUAGAUAUCGGGAGGAACACCAGUGGCGAAGGCGGUCUUCUGGGAUGUUCUUGACGCUCAUACACGAAAGCUAGGGUAGCGAACGGGAUUAGAUACCCCGGU